ACCACUGGAGAAAGCAGAAAGAGCUUGGCCUCAGCCGUUAGCCCACCUCUGCUGCCAAGCAGUGUUGCAGCCCUGAGGGAGGAACUGUCCUCAUCUGUGCUGAAGGAGAGUCCCAGCAGGGGCCCCCAGGUCCUGCCAGCCUGAAGGCGCCACCACGGUAGAAACUCCACAAACCCUCUCAGGGUGAGAUCUGUAAAGUGAACUCACUAUAAAGUGAACUCCCACCAAGUCUAGCAUUGCUGAACUCCUCAACUGCAGUGCUUUGACUCUUUCAGGUUUCCACAAAGAUAUUCCAGAAUCCUUUUUUUUUAAUUAUAUAAAUGCUAUAGCAAAAUAGAAAAAAAAAAGAAGAAGAAGAAGAAGAGAAGGAGCCGGAACCAGGUGUAUGCACCUCUCUUCUGUUUCUGCAUCCUUUCACUCCUGGUGUGGCGCGUGGACCAGCAGCAUUGAUAUCACCUAAUCUUUUGAAGAGCCUGUAAUGGCACUAGAAAAAUGCUUACUGGAGUCAUGGAUGACAGUGACUGAAAGCAGCCCAGCUGGUGUCCCCGCGACCCUCCGUGUGACUAGAGAGAAA
rnacentral:lncRNA from 1 species